rnacentral:rRNA from 1 species
GAUGAACGCUGGCGGCGUGCCUAAUACAUGCCAGUCGAGCGAACGGACGAGAAGCUUGCUUCUCUGAUGUUAGCGGCGGACGGGUGAGUAACACGUGGAUAACCUACCUAUAAGACUGGGAUAACUUCGGGAAACCGUAGCUAAUACCGGAUAAUAUUUUGAACCGCAUGGUUCAAAAGUGAAAGACGGUCUUGCUGUCACUUAUAGAUGGAUCCGCGCUGCAUUAGCUAGUUGGUAAGGUAACGGCUUACCAAGGCAACGAUGCAUAGCCGACCUGAGAGGGUGAUCGGCUACACUGGAACUGAGACACGGUCCAGACUCCUACGGGAGGCAGCAGUAGGGAAUCUUCCGCAAUGGGCGAAAGCCUGACGGAGCAACGCCGCGUGAGUGAUGAAGGUCUUCGGAUCGUAAAACUCUGUUAUUAGGGAAGAACAUAUGUGUAAGUAACUGUGCACAUCUUGACGGUACCUAAUCAGAAAGCCACGGCUAACUACGUG